rnacentral:rRNA from 1 species
ACAAGCAGCGGAGCGUGUGGUUUAAUUCGAUGUUACAUGAAGAGCCUUACCAGGGUUUGACAUGCAAGUGGUAGGAAACCGAAAGGUGACCGACCCUUCGGGGAGCUUGCACAGGUGCUGCAUGGCUGUCGUCAGCUCGUGUCGUGAGAUGUUCGGUUAAGUCCGCUAACGAGCGCAACCCUCGCUGUGUGUUAUAUGUGUCACACGGGACUGCCGGUCUUAAGCCGGAGGAAGGUGGGGAUGAUGUCAAGUCAGCAUGGCCUUUAUAUCCUGGGCUACACACACGCUACAAUGGCCAACACAAUAGGUUGCUAAGCCGCGAGGUGGCGCCAAUCCAUAAAGUUGGUCUCAGUUCAGAUUGUAGGCUGCAACCCGCCUGCAUGAAGAUGGAGUUGCUAGUAACCGCAGGUCAGCUAUACUGCGGUGAAUACGUUCCCGGGGCUU